rnacentral:rRNA from 1 species
GCUUGCACGGACUUGACGUUGGUUUACCAGCGAGUGGCGGACGGGUGAGUAACACGUAGGUAACCUGCCCCAAAGCGGGGGAUAACAUUUGGAAACAGAUGCUAAUACCGCAUAACAAUUUGAAUCGCAUGAUUCAAAUUUAAAAGAUGGCUUCGGCUAUCACUUUGGGAUGGACCUGCGGCGCAUUAGCUUGUUGGUAGGGUAACGGCCUACCAAGGCUGUGAUGCGUAGCCGAGUUGAGAGACUGAUCGGCCACAAUGGAACUGAGACACGGUCCAUACUCCUACGGGAGGCAGCAGUAGGGAAUCUUCCACAAUGGGCGCAAGCCUGAUGGAGCAACACCGCGUGAGUGAAGAAGGGUUUCGGCUCGUAAAGCUCUGUUGUUAGAGAAGAACGUGCGUGAGAGCAACUGUUCACGCAGUGACGGUAUCUAACCAGAAAGUCACGGCUAACUACGUGCCAGCAGCCGCGGUAAUACGUAGGUGGCAAGCGUUAUCCGGAUUUAUUGGGCGUAAAGCGAGCGCAGGCG